rnacentral:tRNA from 1 species
GCCUCUCGCUUACACCAAGAAGAUGUCUGCUAAUCCAGAUCAUUUUGA